UAACAGUGCCGAUAAACCUCC
rnacentral:siRNA from 1 species